rnacentral:tRNA from 1 species
ACCUGGCUGGCUCAUUGGAAGAGCAUGUGACUCUUGAUCUUGGGGUGUGAGUUUGAGCCCCACGUUGAGUA